rnacentral:lncRNA from 1 species
AUGACUCCGCACCCCUGCAGAUGUAGAUUACAGUUUUUCAGCUCACUAGAGAUCCAGAAUCAAAAUCUAAACCAGCUGCUGUUUUUAGGCGGGUGCCUUACUUUAGCUUACUCAAAAGAACACAAGAUGAACGGAGGAAGAACCAGAGAUGCUUGUUUCAGAAUUCAAUUGUUCCAGAAAGAUAGCAGCUCCUGGGCCAGGCUCCCUUCUGGCACGAGUCUGCUUAAGUCAACAAAUGGAGUUACACCCGAGAUGAAUUUGCCAUGCUAUGUUUUUCUAAAUAGAUUAGGGGUCAUUUGAAAAGCUGUAAAUAAACCUUUCAAAUUCUUUAAGGCA